UCCGUGUAUCUCUACAGCUAUGUCACCAUGGGUCAGCUGUAUGCCUUCAUCACUGGCUGGAACCUCAUCCUGUCCUUAGUCCUUGGCACCGCCGUUUUGGCCAGGGCUUGGAGCUACAUCUUUGACAGCCUCAUUGGGAACCACAUCUCUCAGGCAUUGCAAGGAACUUUCUCUCUGCACAUGCCCCACUUCCUGGCCAAGUACCCAGACUUUCUGGCCUUGGCCCUGGUGCUGCUGCUCAUGGGACUACAGGUUCUGGGAGUUCGUGACUCAGCCCCGUUUAACAAAGCGUUCACGGGCAUCAGCACUUUGGUUCAGAGCUUCAUCAUCCUCUCGGGCUUCAUUAAGGGUGACCUGCACAACUGGCAGCUCACGGAACAGGACUACGCAUCGAACACGUCUGAAUCCAGUGGCACCUCUAGGACUCCACAGUGCCACGUUCCCCAUGUCUCAGGUGAUCUAUGUGAUGGCAGAGGACGGGCUCCUUUUCCGGGGACUUGCCCAGGUCCGUGCCUGCACAGGCGCCCCCAUCGUGGCCAUCAUGUCUUCCGGAAACCUCGCAGGGGUCAUGGCAUUGCUCUUCAAGCUCAGUGAUCUUGUGGACUUCUUGUCAGUUGUGACCCUGCUUGCUUACACUCUCGUGGCAUUUUCCGUCCUUGUCCUCAGGUAAGACUCCACUACACCUUGACCUGGG
rnacentral:lncRNA from 1 species